GGAAGCGUGGCCGAGUGGCCGAUGGCACCUGCCUACUAAGCAGGCAUAGGGGUAACUCUAUCGUGAGUUCGAAUCUCACCGCUUCCG
rnacentral:tRNA from 1 species